ACUAAUCAAAAUUGUUUCACUACAACUAUUUGAAGGGAACCAACUAUGAUUGAAACAAAUAAACUUACAAUGUCAUUAUCUUGGAUCAAAGAAAGCCUCAAAACUUACCUCGCCCAUUGGAAGAUCAAGACAUGGCGUGCGAAGCAUAGUUGGAUGACGGCAACACCGCGUUGAUCGGUCGUGUACUCCAGAUCAAGCCCCAAGAACUUUUCAUGAUCC
rnacentral:lncRNA from 1 species